rnacentral:rRNA from 1 species
GUGCGCCGGGAGGGGCCUGCGGCCUAUCAGCUAGACGGUGGGGUAAUGGCUCACCGUGGCUGUGACGGGUAGCUGGUCUGAGAGGACGAGCAGCCACACGGGGACUGAGACACGGCCCCG